UACGGAGGGUGCAAGCGUUAAUCGGAAUUACUGGGCGUAAAGCGCACGCAGGUGGCUGAGUCAGUCGAUUGUGAAAGCCCUGGGCUUAACCUGGGAAUUGCAGUCGAUACUACUCAGCUAGAGUAUGGGAGAGGGUAGUGGAAUUCCCGGUGUAGCGGUGAAAUGCGUAGAUAUCGGGAAGAACACCGAUGGCGAAGGCAGCCAUCUGGACCGACACUGACGCUGAGGCGCGAAAGCGUGGGGAGCAAACAGG
rnacentral:rRNA from 1 species